rnacentral:rRNA from 1 species
CCUUUGUACACACCGCCCGUCGCUACUACCGAUUGAAUGGCUUAGUGAGGUCUUCGGAUUGGCUUUAUGGACCCGGCAACGGGACCGUGUUGCUGAGAAGUUGAUCAAACUUGGUCAUUUAGAGG